CUCCUGCUCCUGCCUUCCGCCACCGCCCUGUCUCGACUGCGUCCACUAGAGUGUUGGCAGCCUUAGUGAUGAUGCCAAGCAGGCCGACGGCAGACAGCAAGAUGCAGGUUGCCGCGAAAUUCUACCCAAGCUGUGCCACACACUUGAGCCAGGCCUCUUGGAAAGGACGCAUAACCAGACUCCAUGCGUUGAUGUCAGAUGAUGCCAGGGAUCAAGGCAACCUGUUUUGCUCCAGCAUUCAACACUUGGUGACCCCUCUACAUGUUUCACCUUUUUCGCAGCUGUACCUCGGCUGCCAUCUAUCCAAACAGCAUCGCCAGCUGUGUCUUAUCU
rnacentral:lncRNA from 1 species